GACGAACGCUGGCGGCGUGCUUAACACAUGCAAGUCGAACGGUGAAGCGCUUGCCUUUUUGGUGGGUGUGGAUGAGUGGCGAACGGGUGAGUAACACGUGAGUAACCUGCCCUCUCCUUCUGGAUAACCUCAUGAAAGUGGGGCUAAUACGGGGUAUUCCGGGUCUGUCGCAUGGCGGGUUUGGGAAAGAUUGCGCCUUUGGGUGUUUUCGGUGGGGGAUGGGCUCGCGGCUUAUUAGCUUGUUGGUGGGGGGAUGGCCUACCACGGCGGUGACGGGUGGCCGGCGUGAGAGGGUGGACGGCCAGACUGGGACUGAGACACGACCCAGACUCCUGCGGGAGGCAGCGGUGGGGAAUAUUGCACAAUGGGCGCAAGCCUGAGGCAGCGACGCCGCGUGAGGGAGGGAGGCCUUCGGGUUGUGAACCUCUUUCGCGAGGGAAGCAGGCCUGCUCCUGUGUGGGUGGGUUGACGGUAGCUGGAUAAGAAGCGCCGGCUAACUACGUG
rnacentral:rRNA from 1 species